AUACCUUUCUCGGCCUCUUGGUUAAGAUCAAAUGUAGUAUCUGUUCUUAUCAGUUUAAUAUCUGAUAUAUGGACAAUUCACAAAUUUAUUUUUAUUAUGGAAUGAGGGAUUUUGU
rnacentral:snRNA from 1 species